rnacentral:rRNA from 1 species
GUCCGCGCUGUAACGAUGAGUGCUAGACGGUGGAGGUAUUGACCCUUCGCUGCCGAAGCUAACGCGUUAAGCACUCCGCCUGGGAGUACGGUCGCAAGACUAAACUCAAAGGAAUUGACGGGCCCGCACAAGCGGUGGAGCAUGUGGUUUAAUUCGACGCAACGCGCAAACCUUACCUGGGUUAAAUCCGCCGGAACCUGUCUGAAAGGAUGGGGUGCCCCUUCGGGGAAUCGGUGAGAAGGUGCUGCAUGGCUGUCGU